GCCAACGGCACCACCCCCCUCCCACCUGAUGCACCCACGUUGCCCGGACCAGGGAUCUGCGUUCCGGUACCAGGGGCUGCGGCCCGUUCCCUUAAGGCUUGAGGGCACCCCUGGCUGUAUUCGCUUCUGUACGCUUCACUGUUUUUAGCCGCUCCCAUAUCUAUGCCCGCGUCUACGCAACCGACGCCGGGAACGCAAAUGUUGUUGUUUAUAUCGCUGUCCCACUAGAUAGAGCUCGGGGAUACACACGGGCGAGAUUCCAGGGGCCUUGAUUGCCCGUUUAUCAGAUGAGGUCCUGAGCGCAGUUGAAUAAAAGGGUCUAAUGCUCAGGUGGCGCAUUGCGUCCACCUGCCCGUGAUGACGCUCAGGACUAUUCCGUGGUUUCUUAGUUGUUCCCGUGCCCCGGGCCUACCCUGGAUACCCCAUGCGUGUGAUUGCUUAUUGUUACACGACCAGUUAACUCCUCCUCACAUCCUUAGUGUGUGGUCAUCUAGGGAUGGGUUGAGGGGGAUUGCCAUUCGUUGUGUACCUCAUAUCUUUCUGAUAUUAUUAUUAUAAUUUAGGGACACGUUUCAUGGUUGCAUUUCUUUCCUGUGAUUGUUAUUGUGUAGUGUUUGUGUGAUUGUUGCAUUUUUGUUUAUAUCGUUAUUGUUCACUGUUAGUUUUAUUGUUGCAUUUUGUUGUUGUUGUUGUGGUUUGGUGUUGGUUUUGUUGUGUAUCAUCUGCUGCCAGUAUUGUUGGUAUUGUCUGCUCGCGAUGUAAGGCCGGGGUGGAUGCCACCCCCUAGGUGGGGUGUGCAUGGCAUACCCAUGUCUGAAGCAUGGGUGGCGUUUCUCCCACGUGGUUCCCCAUACACCCGGUCCAGCGAGUUGUUUUAGUCCCAUGCUCAUGGUUGUUUGUUUUUAUGAUCAUUUUGCCUUCUUUCUGUUAUUUCUAAUGGUGUUAUAAUGGUAGUCCCGUGCUGGAGUCCUAUCCCUCGUACCCCUAAUGAGUAAAAGUCGUCUUGCGACGACUUGAGGGGGAUAUGUUGGGAAAAAUAACCUGCUGAGUACAUCACAUGUACAUUACAAAUAUAACUAACUCCUACCCUAGCCUGAUGAGCACAUCACAUGGCAGACACAUUACAAUAUAGUCAACUCUUGCUCUAACCCAACGAACACAUAACACAAACAUGAUAAUAUAGUCAGGUCAAGGCCGGAGCCGAAGGCCCCAUUUCCCCAUCCAGGCAAAUGGUAGACACUCAGACAAUGCACCAGUCAUCCUCAAGAACAGGAGAGCCACAUUAAUUUAUCACACAGGAGACAUUUUGAGAGCUCUCCCCCGUUAGGAGGAACCAAGAGAUACACCUGCCCAUACCAGGGCCUGAGAGCCACAUUAAAUUAUCACACAGGAGACACUUUGGGGGGCGCUCCCCCGUUUUAAUUUAUCACACAGGAGACAUUUUGAGAGCUCUCCCCCGUUAGGAGGAACACAAGAAGAUACACAUGCACAUACCAGGGCCUGAGAGCCAAGGUCAAGCAAAAACACACAGAACCACGCACACCUCAAACGCACACACCUCAUCGAGAGGAGGAUACAGCAUAAGACUGUAUCACACAGGGACUCAGGAUCUUCUUCUGAAGCAGACCUUCCACGGAGGCGAAGCUCUGGACGAACCAUCAGCGCUGAUUAGGGACUUAGACAUAUUCGAUUUCUCACGCUUUAUGACUCUGUAUAACCGUUGCCACUUUACUUAAUAAAUCCAAGGUCCUCGUGCCGACAGAC
ensembl:lncRNA